rnacentral:rRNA from 1 species
AACGAACGCUGGCGGCAGGCCUAACACAUGCAAGUCGAGCGGGGACUUCGGUCCUAGCGGCGGACGGGUGAGUAACGCGUGGGAACGUGCCCUUUGCUUCGGAAUAGCCCCUGGAAACGGGGAGUAAUACCGGAUGUGCUCGAGAGAGGAAAGAUUUUUCGGCAAAGGAUCGGCCCGCGUUGGAUUAGGUAGUUGGUGGGGUAAUGGCCUACCAAGCCGACGAUCCAUAGCUGGUUUGAGAGGAUGAUCAGCCACACUGGGACUGAGACACGGCCCAGACUCCUACGGGAGGCAGCAGUGGGAAUAUUGGACAAUGGGGGCAACCCUGAUCCAGCCAUGCCGCGUGAGUGAAGAAGGCCUUCGGUU